CGGGGUGAGUAAUGUCUGGGAAACUGCCUGAUGGAGGGGGAUAACUACUGGAAACGGUAGCUAAUACCGCAUAACGUCUUCGGACCAAAGUGGGGGACCUUCGGGCCUCACGCCAUCGGAUGUGCCCAGAUGGGAUUAGCUAGUAGGCGGGGUAAUGGCUCACCUAGGCGACGAUCCCUAGCUGGUCUGAGAGGAUGACCAGCCACACUGGAACUGAGACACGGUCCAG
rnacentral:rRNA from 1 species